CAACAACAGGAAGGAGGUGAUCCAGUGUCUCAUUGUCAUCAGCCGCGGUCGUCUGCGCGCCGGACCUGGAUCGUCGCCUCCGGCUUCACGGCCUGAGCGUACGACGAACAGUCCAGGAUCGGUGAGAUCCUGACAGAUCGAUCAGUCGGACCGCGGUUCGGCAAUGGAAGGGCUGCCCUGGCGACGGGGCGGCCCU
rnacentral:sRNA from 1 species